UACGUAGGGUGCGAGCGUUGUCCGGAAUUAUUGGGGCGUAAAGAGCUCGUAGGCGGUUUGUCGCGUCGGCCGUGAAAUCUCCACGCUUAACGUGGAGCGUGCGGUCGAUACGGGCAGACUUGAGUUCGGUAGGGGAGACUGGAAUUCCUGGUGUAGCGGUGAAAUGCGCAGAUAUCAGGAGGAACACCAAUGGCGAAAGGCAGCACUCUGGGGACGGGUA
rnacentral:rRNA from 1 species